CCUACGGGAGGCAGCAGUGGGGAAUUUUGGACAAUGGGCGCAAGCCUGAUCCAGCCAUGCCGCGUGAGUGAAGAAGGCCUUCGGGUUGUAAAGCUCUUUCGGCAGGAACGAAAUGGUUCGUGCUAAUACCACGGACUGAUGACGGUACCUGAAGAAGAAGCACCGGCUAACUACGUGCCAGCAGCCGCGGUAAUACGUAGGGUGCAGGCGUUAAUCGGAAUUACUGGGCGUAAAGCGUGCGCAGGCGGUUUCUUAAGUCAGAUGUGAAAGCCCCGGGCUUAACCUGGGAACUGCGUUUGAAACUGGGAGACUUGAGUGUGGCAGAGGGGGGUGGAAUUCCACGUGUAGCAGUGAAAUGCGUAGAUAUGUGGAGGAACACCGAUGGCGAAGGCAGCCCCCUGGGCUAACACUGACGCUCAUGCACGAAAGCGUGGGGAGCAAACAGGAUUAGAUACCCUGGUAGUCCACGCCCUAAACUAUGUCAACUGGUUGUCGGGAGAUUAACUCUCUUGGUAACGAAGCUAACGCGUGAAGUUGACCGCCUGGGGAUACGGCCGCAAGGUUAAAACCUUAAAUGAAUUGACGGCNGAGACGNGCGAGACGACGACGAGGAGAGG
rnacentral:rRNA from 1 species